rnacentral:rRNA from 1 species
GAUGAACGCUGGCGGCGUGCCUAAUACAUGCAAGUCGAACGCACGACAAACACUAGCUUGCUAGAGGAUGAAGUGAGUGGCGAACGGGUGAGUAAUACAUAAGUAAUCUGCCCCUACACCUGGGAUAACUUUUGGAAACGGAAGCUAAUACCGGAUAGGUUUAUUGAAGGCAUCUUCGAUAAAUUAAAGAUGGGCUACAUCGAGUGGGGAUGAGCUUAUGGCGCAUUAGCUAGUUGGUAAGGUAAUGGCUUACCAAGGCGAUGAUGCGUAGCCGACCUGAGAGGGUGAUCGGCCACACUGGGACUGAGACACGGCCCAGACUCCUACGGGAGGCAGCAGUAGGGAAUUUUCGGCAAUGGGGGCAACCCUGACCGAGCAACGCCGCGUGAGUGAUGAAGGCCUUCGGGUUGUAAAGCUCUGUUGUAAGGGAAGAAUAGACAGAGUAGGGAAUGACUUUGUUGUGACGGUACCUUACCAGAAAGCCACGGCUAACUACGUG